rnacentral:tRNA from 1 species
GGAGAUAUGGCUCAGUGGUUAAGAGCACUGAAUCCUCUUCCAGAGGUCCUGAGUUCAAUUCCCAGUAACCACA